rnacentral:rRNA from 1 species
UACGUAGGGUCCGAGCGUUGUCCGGAUUUAUUGGGCGUAAAGAGCUCGUAGGCGGCUCAGUAAGUCGGAUGUGAAAACUCGGGGCUCAACCCCGAGAGGCCAUCCGAUACUGCUGUGGCUUGAAUCUGGUAGGGGAGCACGGAAUUCCUGGUGUAGCGGUGAAAUGCGCAGAUAUCAGGAGGAACACCGGCGGCGAAGGCGGUGCUCUGGGCCAGUAUUGACGCUGAGGAGCGAAAGCGUGGGUAGCAAACAGG